rnacentral:lncRNA from 1 species
CUUCCGCUGCAUUACUAAAUUGAUAACCGCAAAGUAAAGAAAGAGUUGAGGAUUUCAUUUCCCAAAGGUGAAGAGCAAUAGAAAGUAUAAGAAUAGUUUCCCUGACUUGGUGGGUUAGAACACUAUCCAAAAUUAGAAACCUUGAGGUCAAUCGAAGCAUCCAAUAUUAAAUUUUCAGGCUGCACGAGAAAAAGAGAGUUUAAUUUCUAUGGACUAACAUUGUGUAACUCUUUUACAUCAUCAUUGUCACGUAUAUAAGUUAAAAUCCGCCAAAAAGAGGUAGGAUAUUAGUUAGUUUGUAGGUGUAGCUUCCUAGAAUGAUUUACUAAAUUCAGUGAGUUGUUUCAAGGGAUCAAAACAGUGAGUUAUUAUUGGAAUUCCUUCACCACUCUUAGGUUCCGUUACUUCAGUUUGUUUUGUAACUCUUUUUCUGUUAUGGUUACUCAAAGAAAAUUUAGGACUAAUAUGUUAACCUUCCCUUUUGUUUCCAUUGUUCCGGAAGCCUCAAGUUUGUUGAACUGAAUUUUCAUAGAUUGCCAGAUUCUAGACUACAAUAUGUGUUCUUGAAUUGUAAUUGAUUAUAAAUUCUUUAAAAUUACCUCACGGUUUUUGUCGAUUGUUUGUACAGAGGGAGUUUCCCACAGGAGAACCCUUCUGGAUUAGCCUCAAUGCCUUUGUAUAAGUCCUUCAAAUGACUCUGUUAUUGGUAUUAGUAUUGAUAUUUAUUGAUUUCGAGUCAAUCAUACGUGCGCCGUUCGUUUUUAGUUUAUCUUUCAUCCCCUCUUUGACCCUUCAUUUUAGAUUAUUCAUCCGUUUACUUUGAUUUGCAGAAACGAACAUCCCUUGCAUUCACAACAACCUUCAUCUGCGAGCAAAGUAAUGUUCAUCAUCUGCUGAAGCUUCAAUUCUGGACAAGAAGAUUAAGCUUCCACCUUUGGUCGUAGCACUAUGUUUUGAAAAGCUAGGUUGAAGAAAGAUGCCCAACACUUCAAAAAGGAAAUUUAACAUGUAUUUUGUCAUCACACAUACAAAGUUGUAACAGUAACUAAGAAUACCAAGAUGACAGCCACUAAUAGUGCUGGCAAUUUAAGUUCAUUUUUUACUGACCCGUCCAAAUAGCCCAUCAAAUAUGUGUUCAAAAAGUGAAUGAAAAAUUACCUAUGUAGACAUCUUUUUCCAUAAUUUCCAUUAAUUCUUGCCAUUUUAAAAAAAUUUCAAAAUCCCUUAUUUCCUCCUAAAACUAAUCAGGCGGAUACAUAACUCAUAACUCCAAAAAUCAAAAUUUAUCACUUCCUCAUUUCAUUCCAUAAAUCACUCUCCAUUUUCUUGUCAGUUAAUUUCUCAAUUACUUUUGAAAUUCAAAAUCAAGUCUUUAUCUAGUCAAAACUAAUUCAACAUGAAAUAGGUAACUUGUUUAUCUGUUCAAAUUUGUUUGUCCUUCAUUUUUUAUUUUUUUUCUUUCUUCUUCGAAACAUUGAAAAUGCACCAUCUUUUAGUCUUGCUUUUACAUAAUUAAACUCAAAUAACACUCGUGUUUUUUUAAUUCGAAGAUAUUGUUUGGGUUGUAAACAAAUCAAAAAACUGCACGACUCAUCAAUAGCGAAAGUAAACAUUGAGAAGUUGGAGAUAGAGCAUAUAAUAUCAAAUUUGCCAUGAGACGAAAAACACUUUUAUUAUGUGUGAACAACAAAGGGGGGCGAUAGGAGAUGGACAUAUCAAAAGGUUCAUUCAUAGUCGAAGAUUGAUAACUUUUCUAUUCAAGAAAUUCUCAAAAAUGGUGAGGUGUGAGUUUGUCGAAACUACAGAAAGUUCAUCAAUACUAAAUAAAACUUGUAUAUCAUAUGGUGUUUUUUUAGAAAAAAAAACUAUCAAUUUUUAUACUUGUUUUGUUGGUAAAUCAUGAAUGACCCACAAACGACAAAUUCAUGUUUCAUAUUGUGAUGUAUCAGUAUUUAAGUGCAAUCUAUUAGUAUGUUGAUUUUGUUCUAUUGAUUGUUGAAUGUGUUUCAGUUAGCUAAUCAAAUAAUGAUCCAUUAAUGAAAAUAUAAUGUGUCAUAUUAUAAUGUAU